CACUCCUGCGGGAGGCAGCAGUGGGGAAUUUUGGACCAUGGGGGCAACCCUGAUCCAGCAAUGCCGCGUGAGUGAAGAAGGCCUUCGGGUUGUAAAGCUCUUUUGUCAGGGAAGAAACGGUGGUGGCGAAUAACUACUACUAAUGACGGUACCUGAAGAAUAAGCACCGGCUAACUACGUGCCAGCAGCCGCGGUAAUACGUAGGGUGCAAGCGUUAAUCGGAAUUACUGGGCGUAAAGCGUGCGCAGGCGGUUGUGUAAGUCAGAUGUGAAAUCCCCGGGCUCAACCUGGGAAUUGCAUUUGAGACUGCACGGCUAGAGUGUGUCAGAGGGGGGUAGAAUUCCACGUGUAGCAGUGAAAUGCGUAGAUAUGUGGAGGAAUACCGAUGGCGAAGGCAGCCCCCUGGGAUAACACUGACGCUCAUGCACGAAAGCGUGGGGAGCAAACAGGAUUAGAAACCCCUGUAGUCCCAUG
rnacentral:rRNA from 1 species